rnacentral:rRNA from 1 species
AACAGGAUUAGAUACCCUGGUAGUCCACGCCCUAAACGAUGUCUACUAGUUGUCGGGUCUUAAUUGACUUGGUAACGCAGCUAACGCGUGAAGUAGACCGCCUGGGGAGUACGGUCGCAAGAUUAAAACUCAAAGGAAUUGACGGGGACCCGCACAAGCGGUGGAUGAUGUGGAUUAAUUCGAUGCAACGCGAAAAACCUUACCUACCCUUGACAUGUACGGAACCCUCGAGAGAUUGAGGGGUGCUCGAAAGAGAGCCGUAACACAGGUGCUGCAUGGCUGUCGUCAGCUCGUGUCGUGAGAUGUUGGGUUAAGUCCCGCAACGAGCGCAACCCUUGUCAUUAGUUGCUACGCAAGAGCACUCUAAUGAGACUGCCGGUGACAAACCGGAGGAAGGUGGGGAUGACGUCAAGUCCUCAUGGCCCUUAUGGGUAGGGCUUCACACGUCAUACAAUGGUGCAUACAGAGGGCCGCCAACCCGCGAGGGGGAGCUAAUCCCAGAAAGUGCAUCGUAGUCCGGAUCGCAGUCUGCAACUCGACUGCGUGAAGUUGGAAUCGCUAGUAAUCGCGGAUCAGCAUGUCGCGGUGAAUACGUUCCCGGGUCUUAUACACACCGCCCGUCACACCAUGGGAGCGGGUUUUACCAGAAGUAGGUAGCUUAACCGUAAGGAGGGCGCUUACCACGGUAGGAUUCGUGACUGGGGUGAAGUCGUAACAAGGUAACC